GGGGAAUCAUAUUCUCUUUACCCCUCCCUAGACAUGAAGAGAUUCUCCGCUUCUCCCAGACCCUCUGCUUCUCACAAUCCCUGGCUGUGGGGAACUUCUCUUAAGGCACAGAUUGGAUCCCUCUUGCUGCAGUCUCUGACUUGGUUUCUCCUAUCCUGUCCUCUGUGGCUAGAGAAAGCCCUCUUCUGGGUGAUCACAGCGGUUCCUUAGGAUCUCCCCUUCAACAUUCCUUCAUCGUUAGUUGGUUCUUCCCAGAAGAAUUCUGGGGAGACAUUGCCAAGGAAUUUUACUGGAAGACUCCAUGCCCUGGCCCAUUCCUUCGGUACAACUUUGAUGUGACUAAAGGGAAAAUCUUCAUUGAGUGGAUGAAAGGAGCAACUACCAACAUCUGCUACAAUGUACUGGAUCGAAAUGUCCAUGAGAAAAAGCUUGGAGAUAAAGUUGCUUUUUACUGG
rnacentral:lncRNA from 10 species